GCGACGCAUCAAUGCAAGUCGAGCGGCAGCACGGAGCUUGCUCUGCUGGUGAGUGGCGAACGGGUGAGUAAUAUAUCGGAACGUGCCCUAGAGUGGGGGAUAACGUAACGAAAGUUACGCUAAUACCGCAUACGAUCUACCGUGAAAAUGGGGGAUCGCAAGACCUCUGGCCCGCGGAGCGGCCUAUGUCUGAUUAGCUAUUUUGGUAGGGGUAAAGAGGCCUCACCCAAGGGCCUCAGAUCAACUAAUCUGCGUCUGAAGAGGACAGACCCAUCCCCACUGGAACUGAGACACGGUCCAGACUCCUACUGGAGGCAGCAGUGGGGAAUUUUGGACUAUGGGCGAAAGCCUGAUCCAGCACUGCCGCGUGAGUGAAAAAGGCCUUCGGGUUGUAAAGCUCUUUUGUCUUGGAAGAAACGGAGAGAGCUAAUAUCUUUUGCUAAUGACGGUACCUGAAGAAUAAGAACCGGCUAACUACUUGCCAGCAGCCGCGGUAAUACCUAUGGUGCAAGCGUUAAUCUGAAUUACUGGGCCUAAAGCCUGCCCAAGCGGUUUUGUAAUUCUGAUGUGAAAUCCCCGGGCUCCACCUGGGAAUUGCAUUUGAAACUGCAAGGCUAAAAUCUGGCACAGGGGGGUAGAAUUCCACUUGUAGCAGUGAAAUGCGUAUAUAUGUGGAGGAACACCAAUGGCGAAGGCAAACCCCUGGGUCUGGAUUGACACUCAUGCUCAAAAGCGUGGGGAGCAAACCCGAAUAGAAACCCUGGUAGUCCACGCCCUAAACGAUAUCUACUAAUUCUCGGGGCUUACUUGACUUGGUAACGCAUCUCACACGUGAAAUAU
rnacentral:rRNA from 1 species